UACGUAGGGACCAAGCGUUGUCCGGAAUCAUUGGGCGUAAAGCGCGUGUAGGCGGCCCGGUAAGUCCGCUGUGAAAGUCGGGGGCUCAACCCUCGGAUGCCGGUGGAUACUGUCGGGCUCGAGUACGGAAGAGGCGAGUGGAAUUCCUGGUGUAGCGGUGAAAUGCGCAGAUAUCAGGAGGAACACCGAUUGCGAAGGCAGCUCGCUGGGACGUUACUGACGCUGAGACGCGAAAGCGUGGGGAGCAAACAGG
rnacentral:rRNA from 1 species